AUAACGUAUUCUAACUCCCUCUCUGUCUAUUCAUAGGUCAUAACGUAUUCUAACCCAGUCUAUUCAUAGGUCAUAAUGUAUUCUAACUCCCUCUCUAUCUAUUCAUAGGUCAUAACGUAUUCUAACUCCCUAUACCAGUCUAUUCAUAGGUCAUAACGUAUGCUAACUCCCUCUACCAGUCUAUUCAUAGGUCAUAACGUAUUCUAACUCCCUCUACCAGUCUAUUCAUAGGUCAUAAUGUAUUCUAACUCCCUCUACCAGUCUAUUCAUAGGUCAAAAUGUAUUCUAACUCCCCUACCAGUCUAUUCAUAGGUCAUAACGUAUUCUAACUCCCUCUACCAGUCUAUUCAUAGGUCAUAACGUAUUCUAACUCCCUCUACCAGUCUAUUCAUAGGUCAUAACAUAUUCUAACUCCCUCUCUGUCUAUUCAUAGGUCAUAACGUAUUCUAACUCCCUCUACCAGUCUAUUCAUAG
rnacentral:lncRNA from 1 species